CNNNNUGNAUUCGUUAGUACGGCGAGUGAAGCGGGAAGAAGCUCAAAUUUGAAAUCUUCAAGGUUCUACCUUGACGAAUUGUAGUUUAUAGAAUUGUUUUCUGUUAGUAGAGUGGCAAAAGUUCUUUGGAAUAGGACAUCAUAGAGGGUGAGAAUCCCGUAUUUGGUCAUUCUUUCUAGCUUUGUGAUACACUUUCAACGAGUCGGAUUGUUUGGGAAUGCAGUCCAAAAUGGGUGGUAAAUUUCAUCUAAAGCUAAAUAUUGGCGAGAGACCGAUAGCGAACAAGUACCGUGAGGGAAAGAUGAAAAGAACUUUGAAAAGAGAGUUAAACAGUACGUGAAAUUGUCAAAAGGGAAGCGUUUGACACCAGUGUUGUUUUUCCGAAAAUCAAUUACAAAGGUUUUGUUUUUGAGAAGUUAUGACUUCAUCGGCUUGCUUCUCUCUUUACGAAACUUUCUUAAUGCACUUUUCGGUUAACAAGUCAACAUCAAUUUCUUUUGUUGUAAAAGGGUAUGAGGAAGGUGGCUUUCUUUUCGGAGAAAGUGUUUAUAGCCUUGUGCCUCUGCAAUCGGAGAGAUUGAGGUCUGCAGCGUAAAUCCUUCGGGGUUAGAUACAUUUGUGCUAAGUUAUAGCUUUCAUAGACAACUUGUUGACUAUGUUAAGUCUUGUAGCUACUCGCUUAUGCUAUUUUACCUACGCUAGGAGUUGACAAAAUGGUUUAACGCCGUAAAAAGCCCCCCCCCCCCAAGGCU
rnacentral:rRNA from 1 species